CAUCUAAGCAUGAAGCCCCCCUCAAGAUGAGAUKUCCCAUAGCGCAAGCUAGUAAGAUCCCUGAAAGAUGAUCAGGUUGAUAGGUCAGAGGUGGAAGCGUGGCGACAUGUGUAGCUGACUGAUACUAAUCGAUCGAGGACUUAACCAAA
rnacentral:rRNA from 1 species